rnacentral:rRNA from 1 species
CAAGGAAGGCAGCAGGCGCGCAAAUUACCCACUCCCGGCACGGGGAGGUAGUGACGAAAAAUAACGAUACGGGACUCUUUUGAGACCCCGUAAUCGGAAUGAGAACGGUCCAAAACCUCUAGCGAGGACCCAUUGGAGGGCAAGCCUGGUGCCAGCAGCCGCGGUAACUCCAGCUCCAAUAGCGUAUAUUAAAGUUGUUGCGGUUAAAAAGCUCGUAGUUGGAUCUCAGUUCCGGUCGGGGGAUCCGUCUUCCGACGGCCAUCUCCCGGACCGAACAGCCGGCCGGUCUCCCUCGAUGAUCUUCAUCGGUUGUCUCGGGUUGACCGGCGAGUUUACUUUGAAAAAAUUAGAGUGCUCAAAGCAGGCUCCAGAAGCCUGGAUAAUGGUGCAUGGAAUAAUGGAAUAGGACCUCGGUUCUAUUUUGUUGGUUUUAGGAUCACGAGGUAAUGAUUAAGAGGGACAGACGGGGGCAUUCGUAUUGCGGCGCUAGAGGUGAAAUUCUUGGACCGCCGCAAGACGAACGACAGCGAAAGCAUUUGCCAAGAAUGUUUCCAUUAAUCAAGAACGAAAGUCAGAGGCUCGAAGGCGAUCAGAUACCGCCCUAGUUCUGACCAUAAACGAUGCCAGCCAGCGAUCCGGCUGCGUUCCUCAAAUGACGCGCCGGGCAGCUUCCGGGAAACCAAAGCUUUUGGGUUCCGGGGGAAGU